rnacentral:rRNA from 1 species
CCUACGGGGGGCAGCAGGGAGGAAUAUUGGGCAAUGGACGGAAGUCUGAACCAGCCAUGCAGCGUGCAGGAAGACGGCGCUAUGAGUUGUAAACUGCUUUUGUACAAGGGUAAAUCUGAAUUCGUGUACCCUGCUGCAUGUACUGUACGAUUAAGGAUCGGCUAACUCCGUGCCAGCAGCCGCGGUAAUACGGAGGAUCCGAGCGUUAUCCGGAUUUAUUGGGUUUAAAGGGUGCGUAGGCGGGUUGAUAAGUUCGAUGGGAAAUGUCCGGGCUUAACCCGGGAACUGCCUCUGAUACUGGUGGUCUAGAGGGUAGGUGCGGUAGGCGGAAUUUGUGGUGUAGCGGUGAAAUGCUUAGAUAUCCUGCAGAACACCGAUUGCGAAGGCAGCUUACC